UACGAAGGGGGCUAGCGUUGCUCGGAAUCACUGGGCGUAAAGGGUGCGUAGGCGGGUCUUUAAGUCAGGGGUGAAAUCCUGGAGCUCAACUCCAGAACUGCCUUUGAUACUGAAGAUCUUGAGUUCGGGAGAGGUGAGUGGAACUGCGAGUGUAGAGGUGAAAUGCGCAGAUAUCAGGAAGAACACCAAUGGCGAAAGCAGCUCUCUGGGACGGUACUGACGCUGAGACGCGAAAGCGUGGGGAGCGAACAGG
rnacentral:rRNA from 1 species